AUCAUUGCGAAGCAGAUUUCGCCAAGCGUUGGAUUGUUCACCCACUAAUAGGGAACGUGAGCUGGGUUUAGACCGUCGUGAGACAGGUUAGUUUUAUCCUACUGUUGAUUUAUUAAUGUUGUUGAAAUAGUAAUCUAACUUAGUACGAGAGGAACCGUUAGAUCAGCUAAUUGGUAUAUAAUGUUAUUGGAAACAAUAAUGCAUUGAAUCUACCAGCUGCAGAAUUAUGACUGAACGCAUCUAAGUCAGUAUUCUGUCUAGUAAUAUCAACAAUAAAUUUUUGCCUUAACAUGUUUUUAGGCAAUUUUAUAUCUUUUUUAAAGAUAGUUUAAGCCUUGCGUUAUGAUUUAUUAAAUAUUUUAAAAUAAAUAUUUAAUAAUAAUAUCGUAUCAUUGAUAUUAUUUCAUGUCAAGGUAAUAGUGAGCUUGUAUACGACUAGCUAGCUGGACCAGGGGGUGUAAGUAGUAGAGCAGGUCUUUCCUGCGAUCUAUUGAGCCUUAUCCUUGUGUUUGGUGUCACUGU
rnacentral:ncRNA from 1 species